UACGUAGGGUGCGAGCGUUGUCCGGAAUUAUUGGGCGUAAAGAGCUCGUAGGCGGUCUGUCGCGUCGGUCGUGAAAACUUGGGGCUUAACCCUGAGCUUGCGGUCGAUACGGGCAUGACUGGAGUUCGGCAGGGGAGACUGGAAUUCCUGGUGUAGCGGUGAAAUGCGCAGAUAUCAGGAGGAACACCGGUGGCGAAGGCGGGUCUCUGGGCCGAUACUGACGCUGAGGCACGAAAGCGUGGGGAGCAAACAGG
rnacentral:rRNA from 1 species